AGGGGCGGGUGCUAUAAUGCAGUCGAACGAGUUCUCGUUGAUGAUCGGUGCUUGCACCGAGAUUCAACAUGGAACGAGUGGCGGACGGGUGAGUAACACGUGGGUAACCUGCCCUUAAGUGGGGGAUAACAUUUGGAAACAGAUGCUAAUACCGCAUAGAUCCAAGAACCGCAUGGUUCUUGGCUGAAAGAUGGCGUAAGCUAUCGCUUUUGGAUGGACCCGCGGCGUAUUAGCUAGUUGGUGAGGUAAUGGCUCACCAAGGCGAUGAUACGUAGCCGAACUGAGAGGUUGAUCGGCCACAUUGGGACUGAGACACGGCCCAAACUCCUACGGGAGGCAGCAGUAGGGAAUCUUCCACAAUGGACGCAAGUCUGAUGGAGCAACGCCGCGUGAGUGAAGAAGGCUUUCGGGUCGUAAAACUCUGUUGUUGGAGAAGAAUGGUCGGCAGAGUAACUGUUGUCGGCGUGACGGUAUCCAACCAGAAAGCCACGGCUAACUACGUGCCAGCAGCCGCGGUAAUACGUAGGUGGCAAGCGUUAUCCGGAUUUAUUGGGCGUAAAGCGAGCGCAGGCGGUUUUUUAAGUCUGAUGUGAAAGCCCU
rnacentral:rRNA from 1 species